UAUGUCAAAUUAUACCACAUGGAAUGGCCAUAAUAGUUUUUAUGGCAUGAUAUAGAUUGGUAAAAACAUGUUCUUCGUACUUUUUUUUGGUACAAGUGCCGCAUAACUCUUAUGGGAUGAUCUUUUUUUAACUUCUCAUAUUAAAUGUAUAUUUGUUAUGGAACACACUUUACAUUUGUUGGCAUUUCAGGAGUAUUACUAAGAAGUGUAAUAAUGUCCUUUUUUUCUUUUAACAUUUCUUACCGUAGAUAUAGGAGUCUACCAAAGAGUAAUUUAGUGUCCUAUUUUUACUUUUUUUUGUCUCUCUUGCACUUGAUUAGGAAAUUGUGAAUUCAAUUUAAUAUGGUU